CGCGGAUGUUAGCUAAAAAAAACAUCAAUUAAAAAUUAAAUAGUGCCCACCACGCAACAAAACUUCACCGUUUCUAGGCAUCUGCAAAAGAAACGGUGAUGUGCGUUUGGUUUCGCCAUCGUUUCGUUCGUUAGAAUUACCUAAAGUGAUAGUGAUUUCAGUGUGAUAGCAAGACACAUAUCCAAGUAUUCAGAAAUCCCAUUUCUGCAAAAAAAAAAAAUCUGUCGAUCCUUCGCCCUCGGACAUUGUACCGCAUUUUCCUGAAGGUACUCUCGCUUGAAUUUGUCAAUGAAUGCUUGGCGAAUACAUGGUUUUUUUGCAUGUGUGUGUGUGUGUUUGUGUUCGUUCAUCGCAAAAACCAAACCAACGGUAGUUCAGCGGAAUGCGGUUUUAUGGUGGCGGUUUGCACACACACAUGAGAACACAUUUCAUUGAGGCGUCAUUUAAAUGACAUUGAAAAGCAAACAGAACAAAAAGAAAACGUGUAUGAAGAGUCGGUAUGGUGUUAACUUGCUGCAUGGCGUGGAUGGCAGCGCUGCCGCUGUUGCCAUUCCGUUUACAUCGAUCGACAAGCAGAUCGUUUCGCUCUGCUUUUGUUCAGCCACAUGCACGCGCAGGCCAUGCUUGGUACUUUAUAAACAGACAAAUUCGUGAAAUUUUGUGUAUAAAUAAAGUGAAUUUAACCAAUAUUCUUCGACACUAGUGAAAGGAGGCUGAAAUUAUACAGGCUGAACAACAUAACUUGACGUUGAUGUCUACAGUAAUUUGGAGGACAUUAUUAGCAUCUCAGGGUCUCCCUCCUGGUUCUGGUUUUUAUUUUAUGCCAGUGGUUGUAUCAAACAAGCGGAUCACUCUUCCGCGACCUCGUCCACCAGGAUAAAGCAGAACCCGGAUAUCAUGGAUCAAGGGAAUUGGUGUUAUGGAGGCGGUUGCUGGGGCCUCAAUUUUGCGUUGUGGUGGUUGCUGUGGCCGUCAAAGAUGGGCUGACCUCUCCGCUUUUGUUCGCCGAGGAGGCCAGUUGAUACCCUCGAGAAAUUUAAAUUAUUUUGGCGAAACACUGAAAGACAUAAAAGCACACAACACAAAAACACUCAUAUAUCUACACAAUUAUAAUUCAUACAAGGAUCACUUACAAUCAAUUACUAACGCCUUCACCAUAAAUAAUAAAAUAAAUAUCGAGGCUUUUAUUGCCUUAAAAAAAGUAA